rnacentral:rRNA from 1 species
AUUGAACGCUGCGGCAGGCCUAACACAUGCAAGUCGAGCGGAUGAAGGGAGCUUGCUCCUGGAUUCAGCGGCGGACGGGUGAGUAAUGCCUAGGAAUCUGCCUGGUAGUGGGGGAUAACGUCCGGAAACGGGCGCUAAUACCGCAUACGUCCUGAGGGAGAAAGUGGGGGAUCUUCGGACCUCACGCUAUCAGAUGAGCCUAGGUCGGAUUAGCUAGUUGGUGGGGUAAAGGCCUACCAAGGCGACGAUCCGUAACUGGUCUGAGAGGAUGAUCAGUCACACUGGAACUGAGACACGGUCCAGACUCCUACGGGAGGCAGCAGUGGGGAAUAUUGGACAAUGGGCGAAAGCCUGAUCCAGCCAUGCCGCGUGUGUGAAGAAGGUCUUCGGAUUGUAAAGCACUUUAAGUUGGGAGGAAGGGCAGUAAGUUAAUACCUUGCUGUUUCGACGUUACCAACAGAAUGAGCACCGGCUAACUUCGUG